UCCUGUGGUAUUAGGUGGACUGGAGAAAGAGGCCCGCGUGAAUUAAGUGUAGUUCUCUUAUGCACUGGCGGACUCUGGUCGCCCUUCCUUGUGAAGGCUGCCUGGGUAGCCGUAGAGGACGAGGCCACUCUAAAGCCUCGUUUUCCCAGCGGAAUUUUAACUAUUCUAAGGAUGUCCUUACAGCCAGUUCCCCACUCCGCUACUCAGAGUGUGUCAGACUUUACCCUGUCCAUUCAACUCCAGAAAAACCGGGAGGUCUAGAUUCGGAAGAUUAAAUUUACCUUUGAAUUAGGACAUGUAAAAUAGGAAGUUAAUAUUAGCAUCCUAAUGACAAAAGUUUUCUCGUUAUCAUACUUGACUCAAAUGGGAAUCUUACGGAUAUUAAUGUUUUUUCCAGAAACAGGUUUGAAAGGUAUUUCAAGGAUAAAUCUGGGGAAAGGGAUGGAAGCAACUGAUUUUUAAUUUUUAGAUAGUACUCUCAGAGCAUUUAUUUAGUCCAAAACUGUUAAUUUAAUGAAUUAGGCUAAACUAGACGCUGGGGUAACAAAGCUGAGUUAGAUACCCUCUCCUCUGAGGCAGCUAAAGAGAAGGAAAGUCUGGUGGCUGACAAGUAAACCAACAGUUAUGUUCUUCAGAGAGGAGAUCUCAGACUCUCUAAGCAAAAGAAACUAAUAGCUGUAUGACAACAGCCAAAGAGUAAAUAUCCUUUCAAGUCCAAUCCUGCCUAAGAUGUCAAAAUCAAGAAUGAAGAGGUUAUGUGCUGAAACAGAAUGACCUUCACAAGAUGCAGCCUCUGGAUCUUGGACUUCCCCAGCCUCCAGAACUCUGAGCAGAGCCCCAUAAAUGAGAAGCCACGAAGACUGAGGUUACACAGUGAUCCACAGUUGCCACAAAACUGAGCAGGCAUCAAGGUACAUCUUGGUGUUGAAUGAAGUUGUUCCAUAUGGGCUCAUUUCUCAGUACUGAAGAAUGGGAUUUUGGACACAGAAGUGAUUUUGAUAAGUGACAGAAUUCUGCCGAAGGCCAGAGGCAAAAAGAGGCAAAACAAGGAACAUAAAAAUAGAGAAUCUACAAAUUAGCAUGUUAUAAUUACUCUCUUGCAUAGCAUUUAAGGACAUCUUUGAAAAGAUUCAAUGUCUUCAGCAACUGUAUCUAACUAGCAUGUACUAUAACUCAAAUUGACAUGAUUCCUAAAGAGAAGCAUCGGGACAACUCUUCUAUAGUGAUGAGGCAUUACUGAACAAUGUUUUUGGUUGAUAAACAGUAAUAGAAAUUUGGGAUUAAAAUGGCCUUUUCAAAGGAGUAGGUCAUUCCUAUGAAAAUAAUAGAUACUUAAAUUUAUCUCUCAUUUCUUGUUUGUGUUUGUGCAUUAGUCAACUUGACACUUCAAGGAUCCUUAAUUUUUAUGAAGAUGGUAGCAUGCUGGUAACAUUUUUGAAAUACCUAUUUUUUUGAAAGCCUGUAUCUUACCUUUCCCCAAGACUGAAUAUAAGUUGUCAUGAUAGUUACAAGGCUGAUGAAAUACUGAAUGAAUUGUGGGAGGAGUGGUUGCAGCAGGGGUUGCAUGGUGAAGAGGAGGCAAAGGAAUAUGAGGAUUUCAACAAGUUGCUACAGUGAAUAGUGCUUUGUCUCAGCCCUCCAGAAACAAAAGUGAUAGCUGGUAUUUAUUAAGUUCUGCUGAUAACUUGGAGAAAUAAAAUUCCUGAGUUUCAGUUUAUUUGUAACUUAUGGCUCAGUGAUUUUAUUUCUCCAAGUACUCUCUAUAUACAUAAAGGCUUACCUGUUUUAUUGUGCUUUGCUUUAUUGUGCUCCACAGAUAUUGCAUUUUUGUUUUUAUC
rnacentral:lncRNA from 1 species